GACGAACGCUGGCGGCGCGCCUAACACAUGCAAGUCGAACGAGCGAGAGGAGGUUUACUUUCUCAAGCGAGUGGCGAACGGGUGAGUAACGCGUGAGGAACCUGCCUCAAAGAGGGGGACAACAGUUGGAAACGACUGCUAAUACCGCAUAAGCCCACGACCUGGCAUCGGGUAGAGGGAAAAGGAGCAAUCCGCUUUGAGAUGGCCUCGCGUCCGAUUAGCUAGUUGGCGAGGUAAUGGCCCACCAAGGCGACGAUCGGUAGCCGGACUGAGAGGUUGAACGGCCACAUUGGGACUGAGACACGGCCCAGACUCCUACGGGAGGCAGCAGUGGGGAAUAUUGCACAAUGGGGGAAACCCUGAUGCAGCGACGCCGCGUGGAGGAAGAAGGUCUUCGGAUUGUAAACUCCUGUUGUUGAGGAAGAUAAUGACGGUACUCAACAAGGAAGUGACGGCUAACUACGUGCCAGCAGCCGCGGUAAAACGUAGGUCACAAGCGUUGUCCGGAAUUACUGGGUGUAAAGGGAGCGCAGGCGGGAAGACAAGUUGGAAGUGAAAUCCAUGGGCUCAACCCAUGAACUGCUUUCAAAACUGUUUUUCUUGAGUAGUGCAGAGGUAGGCGGAAUUCCCGGUGUAGCGGUGGAAUGCGUAGAUAUCGGGAGGAACACCAGUGGCGAAGGCGGCCUACUGGGCACCAACUGACGCUGAGGCUCGAAAGUGUGGGUAGCAAACAGGAUUAGAUACCCUGGUAGUCCACACUGUAAACGAUGAUUACUAGGUGUUGGAGGAUUGACCCCUUCAGUGCCGCAGUAACACAAUAA
rnacentral:rRNA from 1 species